AUAGGGUGGCAAUUUAUACUAAAGUUGCAUAGAAGAUCAAAUUAUGAUUUAGUUAGAGGGUGAAUGAGAGAAUCUAAGAAGAAAAAUGUGAGUGUUAUAACAACAAGAAGUUAUUGGUCUUGGGCAUAAAAGUAGAUCCAGAUCAAUAGAGAAGGUUUUCAAUUAGAAGAAGAAGGGAGUGCCAAUUUUAGAGGAGCUUGAAUUGACUAAAAGAGAAGCAACAAUGGUGUUGUAUUGAGUUGGUAUUGAUGGAUCUAAGCUAUACGGCCGUUUAGAGGAGGCGGUAAGAUCAAGGCAUUUUUAUAAAAAAGAAUCAUAGCAGUGGUGUUGCAAGGACGUGGAAACAAUCUGGUAGUGACAAGGACAAGAUAUGGCUUGGAAAUUGAUGAUUAUAGUAGAUUGGUUGUGAUUUGCAAUAUUGUUAUAAGGUGAUAGUUGAUUUCCAGUAGUAAUACAAGUUUGAAAGGAUUUUUAUAUAUA
rnacentral:lncRNA from 1 species